CCUACGGGUGGCAGCAGUGAGGAAUAUUGGUCAAUGGGCGAGAGCCUGAACCAGCCAAGUCGCGUGAGGGAGUACUGCCCUAUGGGUUGUAAACCUCUUUUGUCGGGGAGCAAAAGCCGGACGUGUCCGGCUGUGCGAGUUCCCGAAGGAAAAGCAUCGGCUAAACCCGUGCCAGCAGCCGCGGUAAUACGGGGGGUGCGGGCGUUAGCCGGAUUUAUUGGGUUUAAGGGGUGCGCAGGCGGGUUUUUAAGUCAGCGGUAAAAUCGUGGGGCUUAACCCCAUCCAGCCGUUGAAACUGGGGAUCUAGAGUGUGCGAGAGGUAUGCGGAAUGCGUGGUGUAGCGGUGAAAUGCAUAGAUAUCACGCAGAACCCCGAUUGCGAAGGCAGCAUACCGGUGCACAACUGACGCUCAGGCACGAAAGCGUGGGUAUCGAACAGGAUUAGAUACCCUGGUAGUC
rnacentral:rRNA from 1 species